AUCCUGAUCUGGUAAAGCUCCCAUCCUGCCCUGACCCUGCCAUGGGCACCAGCCUCCUCUGCUGGAUGGCCCUGUGUCUCCUGGGGGCAGAUCAUGCAGAUACUGGAGUCUCCCAGGACCCCAGACACAAGAUCACAAAGAGGGGACAGAAUGUAACUUUCAGGUGUGAUCCAAUUUCUGAACACAACCAGCUUUAUUGGUACCGACAGACCCUAGGGCAGGGCCCAGAGUUUCUGACUUACUUCCAGAAUGAAGCUCAACUAGAAAAAUCAAGGCUGCUCAGUGAUCGGUUCUCUGCAGAGAGGCCUAAGGGAUCUUUCUCCACCUUGGAGAUCCAGCGCACAGAGCAGGGGGACUCGGCCAUGUAUCUCUGUGCCAGCAGCUUAGCCACAGCAUGGGACAGUCGCCUCCUUCCUGCUCACAAACCCUCAGGCACUUACUUCUCCUUCCAGCUCUCAGAAGCCCUGAACAAAGGAGCUGCCGUGCUCUUUCCUCAGCAAGGAGAAUGA